AGUAGUGUGCAGGGCAAAACUCGUGCUAAUAUGCUACUGCACAGUACUAUUAGGCUACUGCAGUUAGUGACACUAAAAAGCUGUGUGCCAGCACCACUGCAUAGUAGCGCCAGUUACUGCUCAUUGAUUUAGUACUUGGUUAUCCAAGUCCUAAACUUAAUGUGCAGUAACUAUGGCACAUGAAUGAACAUGUAGACACACCCAGUUAUAUCUAUUUUGUAUUACAAAACCCCCAUGGGGACCAGACAAGAUUUUAAGAACUUCAUUGUAUUUAAGUGCUGUAUGCACACAAAGUAAGAGAUGGUUCCUGAAGAGUUUACAGUUUAAAAUAUACAAAUCAGUAUAACAAUUAUGAUCUUGAUUUCAUCUAGCUUUUCCUUUAUGCAUAGUAUAACAUCUAAAUGUAUGCCUCUGACAUCAUAUCAUAUAUAUUUAGAUUUUAUAUUACACAUAAAGGAAAAGCUAGAUGAAAUCAAGAUCAUAAUUAUACGUACACACAUAUAGCUAUAAUCUUGAUUUCACUUGAUAUAAAUGUGCAAGUGAACAGCUCUGUGUGCAUUAGCCCUUGCUGUCUUUUUCUUCACACACCCAAAUUACCAAAACUGUCUUGUCUAGAAUUUCCACCUGAAAUGUUGACUGUUUUGACCUUUGAAAGCACAUUAUAGGUAGAAGUGAAUUUCUUGAUCCAGUCUAUGGAAAGUUGCCAGCUAUUGAAAUAGUGAGGGAUUUUUUUUCCUGAAAUUGUGAGGACUUAAAACAGUAUAAAAUGAACUGCCAAAAACGUGCAUUCUAUUUAAUCACAUUUUUUCACCAGUUGUCCUUAUCCCUGCAAAGUAUGUUUCCAAAAAGAUAAACUGAGGCUCAGAAACUUGUGUAACUCUCCAAAGGUCAGUCCAGCUGGUAAGUAGCAAAGCUUGGAAUAGAGCUGAGGAAUUAUGACUCAGUCCUCUGAUGGAAGCACUAGAUGUACUACUUAUUAAUAGUGCUGCCUAAUAAUAUCUUUACUGAGCUGCAUAUUUUAUACUUAUCACAGAUAAUAUCUAUUAAAACAGGAUGACUCUUUCAACUAUAUCAAAAUCAAGCUGCAUGCUCUGCAGGAGUAAAUUUAGGGGCCAGAUGUUCAGCUGCACUCUAGUAGCCUUUGUAGAGCUGUUUUAAAGCUGACAUGGCUGUAUACCAGUAGCAGUGAACAGUCAUCAGGAAGGGAGAGUGGGUUGCACACUCACUCUUCCCAUUCUGCUUGGACAGCUCCCAAAGUGAGCGGCACUGGCGGAUGAGGCGGUAUGGCCAGGCAUCUGGAGUUGCACUCAUUUAGUGUAUUUUUUUUCUGCUUACUUAUGAAAUGCAAGCCACAAAUUAAGGCUGUCUCUCUUAUGGCUGGAACCCCACUGGAGGCAUCAGUUCACAUGCCAUGUGUGCUUCCUCAGAUAUGAGUUCUCCUGUCAGAGUUUCACACGAGUAUGCAAUUUGCACCUCACUGUACCUGGAAUCAGUCACACUUUUCAAUGUCUUGUUUUAAAAAGAAUCUAGAUGAGAUGCAUGCAAACAGUAGAAACCACAGCUUUCCAAGCUGUAAUGCUAAACAUUUCUUCUUCAGAGGACUUGUGCUCGGUGGUUCUUAAGGCAUUUGGAGAAAAUGGGUCACUGUGUAUGUAUGGGAACAUCAAUAUCUGAGAGACUCGAACACUGAAAUGUCCCUUUGGGCGCUGUGAUAUACAACAAGACAUCGAUCAUUUUAAGCAAACUGCCUUCAUAUCAAGGCGAGGUAGAUGAGACAGACAAAGGGAAAAUGCUGUGACCCAACAUCACCAAAAUCUACUUCUUCCUUCCAGCAUUAUUUGCCACCUCUGCAGUCGAACAUGCAGAUCGCAGACCAGCCUCGUCAGUCGUCUUUGGACUCACGGAUGACUUCCCUAUUUGCUGGAAGACUGCCAUCCUUGUAUCGAGGGACUGCCAGUGAUGACAACGUAAGAGAAACAUGUAUUUUAACUGGUAAUGGAAUUUCUAAACAUGAGAAUGUAACUAUACUGCUGUCGCUCAAUUAUUUUCAGUAUAUAAAUGAUGUUGAUGAUACUUCAACUAUUCAAAAUAAAAAAACUUUUAAAAGUCAA